rnacentral:rRNA from 1 species
UUGUCCUACGGGACGCAGCAGUGGGGAAUAUUGCACAAUGGGGGGAACCCUGAUGCAGCGACGCCGCGUGGGUGAAGGAGUAUUUCGGUAUGUAAAGCCCUAUCAGCAGGGAAGAACAAUGACGGUACCUGACUAAGAAGCACCGGCUAAAUACGUGCCAGCAGCCGCGGUAAUACGUAUGGUGCAAGCGUUAUCCGGAUUUACUGGGUGUAAAGGGCGUGUAGCCGGGCCGGCAAGUCAGAUGUGAAAUCCCAAGGCUCAACCUUGGAACUGCAUUUGAAACUGUUGGUCUUGAGUAUCGGAGA